GUUCUUGGGUUUUAUGUGGAACCCUCUUUCAUGGGUCAUGGAGGCAGCAGCUAUCAUGGCUAUUGCACUUGCCAAUGGAGGAGGGAAACCACCUGACUGGCAGGAUUUUGUUGGAAUUAUCACUUUGCUUCUCAUCAAUUCUACAAUUAGUUUUAUAGAGGAGAACAACGCUGGUAAUGCCGCUGCUGCUCUCAUGGCCCGUCUUGCUCCCAAAGCCAAGAUCCUUCGAGAUGGGACGUGGAUUGAGGAGGAUGCCUCCAUUCUUGUUCCUGGUGAUAUUAUCAGCAUUAAGCUUGGAGACAUCCUUCCUGCAGAUUCUCGUCUUCUUGAAGGUGAUCCAUUAAAAAUUGAUCAGUCUGCUCUUACUGGCGAGUCUCUUCCUGUGACAAAAGGACCUGGUGACAGUGUUUAUUCAGGUUCUACAUGCAAGCAAGGAGAGAUUGAAGCUGUGGUCAUUGCCACAGGGGUGCAUACAUUCUUUGGCAAGGCUGCCCAUCUCGUGGAUACGACAAAUCAAGUUGGACACUUUCAAAAGGUAUUGACUGCUAUUGGGAAUUUCUGUAUAUGCUCCAUAGCUGUGGGGAUGAUAAUAGAAAUAAUUGUUAUGUACCCAAUUCAACACCGCAAAUACCGUCCAGGAAUUGACAAUUUACUAGUACUUCUCAUUGGAGGAAUUCCUAUUGCAAUGCCCACAGUUUUAUCUGUGACAAUGGCGAUAGGGUCCCAUCGUUUAUCUCAGCAGGGAGCUAUAACAAAACGAAUGACAGCAAUAGAAGAAAUGGCAGGCAUGGAUGUUCUUUGCAGUGACAAAACUGGAACUCUGACCUUGAAUAAACUUACAGUUGAUAAGAAUUUGAUUGAGAUCUUUGCUAAAGGAGUUGAUGCCGAUACGGUGGUUCUGAUGGCUGCUAGAGCCUCUCGAGUGGAGAACCAGGAUGCAAUAGAUGCUGCAAUAGUGGGAAUGUUGGCUGAUCCAAGAGAGGUAGAAUGAUAGAUAAUAUAAUAUCUUCUACGCAUACACUUUGCUUAGCAAAUGCAACUUAUUUUCUUUGAGGUUGAAUAACUGAGACAAGUCACCAUAAAUUGUAAGAUGUUUAAACCAUACUACUUAGUCUUGGCCGUUCUAUUUAUCAUUUCACUUUGUUUUGGCUUCUGACUUCAACAAGGCACGAGCUGCCAUUCAAGAAAUUCAUUUCCUCCCUUUCAACCCAACAGACAAGCGAACUGCUCUAACAUAUAUUGAUAGUGAAGGCAAAAUGCAUCGCGUCAGCAAAGGUGCGCCUGAGCAGAUUCUGAAUCUUGUACGCAACAAAUCAGAGAUAGAACGUAGGGUUCAUGCAGUGAUUGAUAAGUUUGCGGAACGGGGUUUGCGAUCUCUUGCAGUGGCAUACCAGGAAGUUCCUGAAGGUAGAAAGGAAAGCUUAGGAGGUCCAUGGCAAUUUAUUGCCCUCAUGCCUCUGUUUGAUCCACCUAGACAUGAUAGUGCAGAGACUAUUCGGAGGGCAUUGAAUCUCGGGGUAAAUGUGAAAAUGAUCACAGGUGAUCAACUGGCAAUAGCAAAGGAAACAGGACGC
rnacentral:misc_RNA from 1 species